ACCAUAUUUGCAUAGUGGUAAAAUGCGUGGCUUUUAACCAUGUGGUUGUGGGUUUGAUCCUUACAGAUGGCA
rnacentral:tRNA from 1 species